UACAGAGGGGGCAAGCGUUGUUCGGAAUUACUGGGCGUAAAGGGCGCGUAGGCGGGCGGACAAGUCUCUCGUGAAAGCCCACGGCUCAACCGUGGAAUUGCGGGAGAUACUGUCUGUCUUGAGUCCGGGAGAGGAGGGUGGAAUUCCCAGUGUAGCGGUGAAAUGCGUAGAUAUUGGGAGGAACACCGGUGGCGAAGGCGGCUCUCUGGACCGGUACUGACGCUGAGGCGCGAAAGCUAGGGGAGCAAACGGG
rnacentral:rRNA from 1 species